UGUGUAGGCGGUUGUUUAAGUUUGGUGUGAAAUCUCCCGGCUCAACUGGGAGGGUGCGCCGAAUACUGAAUGACUUGGAGUACGGGAGAGGAAAGUGGAAUUCCUGGUGUAGCGGUGAAAUGCGUAGAUAUCAGGAGGAACACCGGUGGUGUAGACGGCUUUCUGGACCGUAACUGACGCUGAGACACGAAAGCGUGGGUAGCAAACAGGAUUAGAUACCCUGGUAGUCCACGCCCUAAACGAUGCAUAUUUGGUGUGGGCAGUUCAUUCUGUCUGUGCCGGAGCUAACGCGUUAAAUAUGCCGCCUGGGGAGUACAGUCGCAAGGCUGAA
rnacentral:rRNA from 1 species